rnacentral:rRNA from 1 species
AUUGAACGCUGGCGGCAGGCCUAACACAUGCAAGUCGAGCGGAUGAAGGGAGCUUGCUCCUGGAUUCAGCGGAGGACGGGUGUGUCAUGCCUAGAACUCUGCCUGGUCGUGGGGGAUAACGUCCGGAAACGGGCGCUAUUACGGCAUACGAUCUGAGGGAGAUAGUGGGGGAUCUUAGGAUCUCACGCUAUCAGAUGAGCUUAGGUCGGAUUAGCUAGUUGGUGGGGUAAAGGCUUACCAAGGCUACGAUCCGUAACUGGUCUGAGAGGAUGACCAGUCACACUGGAACUGAGACACGGUCCAGACUCCUACGGGAGGCAGCAGUGGGGAAUAUUGGACAAUGGGCGAAAUCCUGAUCCAGCCAUGCCGCGUGUAUGAAGAAAGUCUUCGGAUUGGAAAACACUUUAAGGUGUGAGAAACGGCAGUAAGUUAAUACCUUGUUGUUUUGACGUUACCAACAGAAUAAGCACCGGCUAACUUCGUG